rnacentral:rRNA from 1 species
GGAUUAGAUACCCUGGUAGUCCACGCCGUAAACGAUGAGUACUAGUUAUUGGGGGUAUUGACUCCUUCAGUGACGCAGCUAACGCAUUAAGUACUCCGCCUGGGAAGUACGGUCGCAAGACUAAAACUCAAAGGAAUUGACGGGGGCCCGCACAAGCGGUGGAUUAUGUGGUUUAAUUCGAAGCAACGCGCAGAACCUUACCUAGGCUUGAAAUCCUCAGAAUUCCGAGUAAUGUUGGAAGUGCCCGCAAGGGAAUUGAGUGACAGGUGCUGCAUGGCUGUCGUCAGCUCGUGCUG